rnacentral:misc_RNA from 1 species
ACCAGAUCAAGUCGAAAUUACAGCUGGAUUUUAACAAGAAUCAGCUCGUUGAGAAGCUUCGGAGGUUGAAGAAGAAAUAUCGCAACGUUAUUGGUAAGAUUAGCUCUGGUAAGGACUUCAAUUUCAAAAGCCCUCACGAUCAGGCUACGUUUGAGAUUUCUCGCAAGAUCUGGAGCAAUACCGGCCGAAUUGGAGUCGACGACAACGCUUUAGACGAUGACGAACCUGCUGCUCCGACUCCGUAUGCUAGCUACAUGGACCACAGAAACGAAGAGAUGAUGGCGAAUUGCGCAGAGAAGAAACCGACGCCGACUCCGAAAUCGCGGAAGCGCACACGGCCUGGAUCGGGAAUUAGAAUGGACGUUCCGCGUUCGUCUAAUGAGAAUUUGAGUAAAGAGAAAAACAGUACCUACCACAACAACACCAACAACAACGAAAAUGUCAAUAACGUAGCGGUAGCAGGAUUGAUCGAGGAGACGGUGAGGAGCUGCCUGUCGCCAUUGUUUAAGGAAUUGCUGAAUACUUCCAUGGGAG